CCCUUUGAUACUCUGGGCGGCACGCGCGCUACAAUGGAUAAUACAACGUGUUACUUAACCGAAAGGUUAUGUAAAUCACAAAUGUUACGUCUUGAAUGGGAUAGUUUAUUGCAACUACAGACUUGAACUAGGAAUCCCUUGUAGGUACACUGAAGCAUAGUGUACCGAAUACGUCCCUGCCGUUUGUACACACCGCCCGUCGUUUCUUCCGACUGAUACUCAUUGUGAAUUACGAGGAUGCGUUAGCAAAAUCGUUGUAAAUGCUGGGUAUUGGAGAAAGAAAAAGUCGUAACA
rnacentral:rRNA from 1 species